rnacentral:rRNA from 1 species
UUGUGCUAAGGUAGCAUAAUCAUUUGUCUUUUAAUUAAAGACUAGAACAAAAGAUUUAACAUUUUAAUUAAUAUAUCAAAAUUAAUCAAUUAAAUUUAUUUUAAAUGUAAAAAAACAUUUAUAAAUUAGGAAGACGAUAAGACCCUAUUAAACUUAACUUUAGUUUAACUGGGGCAGUUAAUUAAUUAUUAUUUUAAUUUAAAAACAAAAAUAAAUAGAUCCUAUAAAAUAGAUCAAAUGAUCAAGUUACUAUAGGGAUAACAGCGUAAUAUUAAUUUAAAGAUCUCAUUAAAAUAAAAGAUUACGACCUCGAUGUUGAAUUAAUAACCUAUUGCAA